rnacentral:tRNA from 1 species
UCCCUGGUGGCCCAGUGGUUAGGAUUUAGCACUUUCACUGCAGAAGCCUGGGUUCAAGCCCUGGUUGGGGAA